UUCCGGUUGAUCCUGCCGGAGGCUACCGCUAUUGGAGUUCGAUUAAGCCAUGCGAGUCGUGAGUCCUAGGGACUCGGCGUACCGCUCAGUAACACGUGGGUAACCUGCCCUAUGCUGGGGAAUAACCUCGAGAAAUUGAGAAUAAUGCCCCAUAGUUCACCACGCCUGGAACGGUGGGUGGAUGAAAGCUCCGGCGGCAUAGGAUGGGCCUGCGGCGUAUCAGGUUGUAGGGGGUGUAAUGUACCCUCUAGCCAUCCACGCGUACGGGUGUUGGGAGACAUCGCCCGGAGAUGGAUUCUGAGACACGAAUCCAGACCCUACGGGGUGCAGCAGGCGCGAAAACUUGGCAAUGCGAGCAAUCGUGACCAGGGAACUCCAAGUGCAUCGGGUAAGACCGAUGCUUUUCUUGACUCUUCAAAGGUCUUGGAAUAAGGGGUGGGUAAGGACGGUGCCAGCCGCCGCGGUAAUACCGGCGCCUCAAGUGGUAGUCGCUUUUAUUGGGCCUAAAACGUCCGUAGCCGGUUUGGUACAUUCGUGGGUAAAUCAAGACGCUCAACGUCUUGAAUUCUGCGAGCACGGCCAGACUUGGGACCGGGUGAGGUGUGGGGUACUCUCAGGGUAGGGGUAAAAUCCUGUCAUCCUGAGAGGACCACCUGUUGCGAAGGCGCCACACUAGAACGGAUCCGACGGUCAGGGACGAAGCCUAGGGGCACGAACCGGAUUAGAUACCCGGGUAGUCCUAGGUGUAAACGCUGUGGACUUGACGUUGGGAGUGCUCCGAGCGCCCUCAGUGUCGAAGCGAAGGUGAUAAGUCCACUGCCUGGGGAGUACGGUCGCAAGGCUGAAACUUAAAGGAAUUGGCGGGGAGCACUGCAACCUGAGGAUUGUGCGGUUUAAUUGGAUUCACGCCGGA
rnacentral:rRNA from 1 species